GACGAACGCUGGCGGCGUGCCUAAUACAUGCAAGUCGAACGAACCGCGACUAAGUGCUUGCACUAAGUCAAGGUGAGUGGCGAACGGGUGAGUAACACGUGGGUAACCUACCUCAUAGUGGGGGAUAACAGUCGGAAACGACUGCUAAUACCGCAUAGGACAUAGGAUCACAUGAUCCAGUGAGGAAAGGUGGCGCAAGCUAUCGCUAAGAGAUGGACCCGCGGUGCAUUAGCUAGUUGGUAGGGUAAAGGCCCACCAAGGCGAUGAUGCAUAGCCGACCUGAGAGGGUGAUCGGCCACAUUGGGACUGAGACACGGCCCAAACUCCUACGGGAGGCAGCAGUAGGGAAUCUUCCGCAAUGGACGCAAGUCUGACGGAGCAACGCCGCGUGAGUGAAGAAGGUCUUCGGAUCGUAAAGCUCUGUUGUUAGAGAAGAACAGCGCUUAGAGUAACUGCUAUGCGUGUGACGGUAUCUAACCAGAAAGCCACGGCUAACUACGUG
rnacentral:rRNA from 1 species